CAGAGGUGAUCACAGCCUGCCUGCUGGAUCCGUGAGCUUUGUAUACUGAGCUCUGUGUGCUUAAAGUGAGGCAAACAAGGAAUCAAUUAUUUAAGUCCUCCCUGAGCAAGAGGGUUUUUGGAUCACGGUUUUGGAUGUAUGCACCUUAGCUUCUGAGUGACUCUGAAAAUAGGUUUAGGUUUGGGCUGAAUCGUUUGCCGUUUUGAAAGGCUGGAACAGCCGAAGAUGCACCUCCUCCACGCUCUGUCCACAGAAAUCUUUUCCUCUCUCUCAGAUUUUGGUGCUUCUUUCCAGUCCGGGUGUCUGGGCGUCGGAGAGUGCGAGUUCAAAUCUCAUUGCCUCUCGCUCUCAAACUCCUUCCUCGCCUAUUUGUUAGCUUCCUUGUAGCUUUAGUAAAUACUCAGCUCUAAUUAAGCUCUUACUACUGAAAGGAUUCUUCGGGCGCCUGGAGUGCUAUGUCGAAACAGAAAAACGCAUCAAGCAACACAAAAGUGUAAGAAAGAAAAUUUUGUGGGAUAACAGCCAGACGCACCACGCAAGCAAAGUCUGCAGAGCUUAGCAAACAGGUAGAGAAGUUUUUCUGUAUGAAGGCAAGCAGAGAGUCUAACAGUGGGGUAUGAACAAAAAGUAUUAUUUUUCUUAUUACUGCUGGUAAUGGCCUCUAGGUUUUGUUCAUCUCCUGAGGCUGCCUGAAGUUGAACAAAGCUGUUGUUGGAUUGCAUUAAAGAUGUGAGAAGAGUAUUGCACACUGAGAAAUGGCAUCCCUGAAGAGAACAAGAUCUACACGAGAAAUUAGAAAGUGAAAGAAGUUUUUGAAACUUUAAUAUUGGAUUUGACUCAGUUUAUUCAACUAAACAGCAUUGGAAGACUUUCGGAAUUUUAUAUAGAUUCUAGAGAGGAUUCCCAGUUCUCAAACUGAGUAAAAAACUAUUAGGAUAAACUACCUGAAACUUAUGAAAAGCCAUUAGGAUUUGCGAGGCAGCAGAACACUGCACAGGCAUUGCCUUCAGUAACCUUCCGCAUGUAGAAAUAAAAUCUGCAAGAAUUUUUAAAAUAACAGUUAAGACAAUAUAUUUGUGGGAUAUGUUUAGGAAGUGAAUUGCUCACUGAAUAAAACUCAUAACAUUGACACUGAUGGGUUAGUUAAUGUAAUAGCUCAAAUGACAGUAAAACAUCUGAAGAGAAAAACAUCACAAACAGGUAAGUAUAUUGUAGGAAAGAACUUCUGUGAAUGUAUAUGAAGUAGAUGUAAAGGUAACUCUCAAUCUACAGAAAAUAAAAUUUGUAAUUUUGGACAGAAAUGAAGACUACAUUGAAGCUUAAUACUUGCAAGGCGGUUGGUUUCACUGAGAGAGGCUGUAUUUAUAAAAAGAAUGAGACCUUCAGGAAGAUAGAAAGUAAAACAAUUGCAAAAGGAAGAGCAGAACUAAAUGGAAAUGUGAAAAUGGCAAUGGAAAGAAAAAGAUUCCCAGCAAGUAGGCAAAUACCAUGGAGAAAACAAGCUAAAAAUGAGUAUAAUAUUAAAAAUUUCAUGGUAUUAUCAUAAAAGAAUCAUAUGAACAAAGGUAGUACAGAAUCUACAGUUUGACACCUUGAAUAUAAAUGCCAAAUAAACUGCAGAGCCAUAGACCAAAUUGACCAAACUGUUUAUGCAAGAAAAAAAAAAUCAUUUUGGUUCUAGAUUAGUGUGUCCAGUGGAUUGCAAUUUGCUUGCUAUGAGUUUAAAGAUUUUGUUGGUGUGUGUGAUUUCAAGCAUAUUUUGCAGAGUCCAGAAUGUUCGUAAAGGAGCCGCCUUGAGCAAAAUUGCUAAAUGGGCACCAAAGAAUUAGAUUCAGUUCCUUACAAGGUUAGCUGGACUAUUUGACCUGCUGUCAUGCCACCUGGUAAUUUAGCUCAUGUUAAUAUCAGAGGUAAUGUGUAUUAAUUAUCAAAUAGACAUUGUGGGCAACAUUAUUAAGAAAAUGAUGAAUUGUGAUGAAGAAUCACCUGCAUUAAACUCUUGGCAGCCACAGGAGGGAGAGAGUAUGCGUGUGUGUGUGCAUCACGAAGGGAAAACUAGGUACAAGAGACCAGGUUUCUUGUGAAGUUGCUUCUCACUCCUGUGAGUGAUUAUUGGACAACAAAAUAUUUGUAGGAGUAGUAGAAGAAUCAGCUUUUUCCAAGAAGAAAGGACACAAUGUCAAAGAUGAAAAACGGAACAUACUGUAGCAGAGCCAGUGGAUUAGACAGUGUCGAGGAAGGAUCUGAGCCAACUGAUCCAACUCUGAGAUGCUUCAUACUUUUACAUAACCUAGGAGAAAACUCAGAAAGACUGAUAGCUGAUUUACGUGUUGUGCUAUUAGCAUUAUAUAUUUCCUCAUUCUUUGGGAGAAGGUCUGAAAAAGUGCUAAGGUAUCAGGGAACACUACUUUGAACCAGAUCCUAGAAGGGUUAGUUUCCUUGCCAUCCACAACAUGUUGAUUUCUUCCAUGUUUUUUAUUUCCUUGCUGUUGGAGGUAAGAAAUCAUCUUUGUUAUCAGCUCCGGCUUAAGGUUCCUCUAAGUAGUAAUAGUUCAUAGCCAGUAUGAUGUAGUGUUCUCAAUAUCGAAGUAGUGUGCUAUCAAGUGUUCCCAUUGCAUAGUUAGUUCCUCAGCUGAGGUAUUUCUGUCCAUCCUCUGCAACCUUGGUUAGGAGUUAGUGCAGAAGACCAUGCAAGGUCAUGUUUGUCAAAGCAUCACAGAACUGCGCUUUGGCCUUAGUCAUCUGAGUGAAAUAUCUGAUACAAAAACAACCAGUUCUAACACGAUGAACUUUAUUACAGUUCUAGCAAUGUCUGUAAAAUAUUUUUUCCGUGUAUGGUAGGGAGAAAUCUUACUCCUAUGACAAAGAAAUAUAACAUUGACAUAAGAGCUGUGACAACUAUAGGAGCCAGCUUCGUAGUAUAGGAACCUCUGUCCUCUAAGGAAUGUGCUGUCUGGUUAUAGAACGAGAAAUCAGAUUAAGCCAAAAGUAUUUACUGCUGCCAUAGCAGUUCAGCCAGUUUCUAAAAGGAAUGGCUGAAACCCUUGAAAGGACACUGCUAGUGGAGGUGAGAUCUAUAAUCCCUGCCUUGCAGAUGCUACCAAACGGACAGGAAGCAUGAGUAGACUCUUUCAGGUACGUUGGAGCACCUGAAACAAAGAUAGUAAAGCUCAAAUGUGAGUUGUGAUAGCAACAUUCACAAAAUCCCACCAUAACUGAAAUGCAUCUCCAGCGCAUCCUAAAGUGACCUUCUUUGAAUAACUGUAUUCUCCGUGGAUGCGAACCUGGAUCUGAAAUUCAGCAAUAAAAAAUAUGUUUAAGCCCCUUAAUCCAGAGGUGUCUGUGUCUGUGGCUAACUGUACACUGAAAACAGGCCAUUGCAGUUUAUCUCAUGAACCUCCUCUGGCAGCGAUAAAGAGAGAAGUUUUGGCUAUGCAUGAUUUUGCUUAGAAAAAGAGGAUAAAAAGGACGAACAAAAGAGGACAAAGGAGUUGUCAACAACCAAGGGCCAUCUUGGAAGGAGAGGUCACAAGCAGAGUGAUGAGAGAGAAACUGUGGAUUGCAAUCAACGCUUCAGAAAGAUGUCCUCGCGACUGCAGCUGUGACAGGGCAAAGGACAGGUGAGCACAGGAGGCUAGAGGCGUUUGCUCUAAUGCACUUCCCUUAGCCUGGAACAGCGAUCCCGCAGCGUAGGGUGAACGAGGGGUUCCCUUCUCCCGGUAAACAGAUAGGCAGAAACGUGGUAAGCGCCUCUCUCCUCUCCUGAAUCCAAAAACCUCCUGCAAAAUAUCUUUCUCUUCUAGUAUUUUACAUUAUGUUUCUAUGGAUUGUCUUUAAGGACAGUAAAGUACAAUCUGGGACAUCAGAUUAACAUUUGGAUACUUUAAAAUGUCACUUUAACAUUUAGUUGUAAAGUAACAACAUAAAGUAACUACAUAGUAAUUAAAAUAUUUCAUACAUUCCUGUAGUUUAAGAUGUGUGCAGCAAGUGCCUCAUUACUAACACUUCCAGAAAAAAGGCAUUCAAUUUAAAAAUCAUUGCCUGCCAGAUCUAACAUUUUUCCUAUGCUUUUUAAGGUGACAUGAUUUGUAAAGAGCUAUUAUUAAGUUGACAUGGUUUUUAAAGAGCCAUUAUUGUUUCUAUCUUGGUCAAAAGGGGUAUUUCAUAAUAAGUAAUAUAUUCUAAUUUGGUGACUGCAGUGAAGCCGUGUUACAAUUAUAAAUAACAACCAAUCAUCCAAAAUAGGUACCUUAUGUGCAUAAUGUGCAGCUGAGGAGGAACACUGGAAAUGAAAUUUCUGUGAGGACUUCAAUACUUAUGCUUUAUCAGCCAAAUCAUAGCAUGACCUGGCGUGUUUGGGGGAAGACCUUUCCCAUUUAUGAGGUCAAAAUUCCUGUAGCCAGCUCAGCCAGAGGCUUAGGAAUAUCUGGUUGGUGCCACAACGGUGUGCGAGUUACAAAUUACACCACUAUACACUUACUUAAAUGGUCACCUUUUUUCUUAGCAAGGAAAUCUGUUGAUCAUUAGCCAGCUCCAGGAAAUAAUUCAUAGCAGUUACUCAAAUUCAAGAGCUAUCCAAAGCCAAUUACAGGAAGUUGUUUAUCCUGUCCUGGUUCUAGCUGCAAAUUGACUUGUAAGGUGAAGCGCUGCAGAGACGCACACACACUUCAUUGGCUUGUCUUGUGCCAGUCGAUGUCCAACAGUGAGGACCGCCGACGCCAAGCUUUUUGUGCCGUGCUUUCUCAACCUGUACCUGCCGAUACUCCUCUGGGGUGAAGGAGCUGUGCUUCUGGGGCCUCGAAAGCAGGGCCAGGCACCAGGCCGUUGCCAGAUAGGACAGCCACAGAGAACCCUUCGCCCAUCAGCCAAAGCAAGCCUUGGAAGAUCUCUGUUUGUUAGUCACCUAAGCUACAGUGGGUUAUUUGCAGAACUAACUAACUGCUGUGUGCCAUGCGCUACUCUCACAAUGAGGGCUGGUGCUGCUAGCCUAAAAGUAUCAGGUAAGAACUUGGUAAGUACAAAAAUAUCAUCAGGCUCAUGUUGUCCUAAUAAGUGACUCUCUGAAAAAUGAAGGUAUUUGAAACAAGUAAAUUGUUUUAUGGUGGUCUCAGCUAUUUCUUUUUUCGUUUGUGUUCUACAAAUGCUUUAGUAAUCACCCUUCGUUAGUAGAAAUUAUUAAUCAAAGACUUGAUGAGUUUCUUUCUUUAAAAAAAACAACAAACAACAACAAAAAAAAACCCUCAGUUUUAAGCUCAAGUAAUUGUUACCAGUCACUCUCUCAGGCAUAGCAGUACUGGACAGUGUAGAGGGUAUUAUUCCUGCUUGGAGGAUUAAGAACAGGUGUUUCCAAUGCAUUUUUCCAUCUGCCAACAUUCUUAGUGGCUGCUUUCAUAAAAUUUCAACUCCAGUCAAAAGACUUAGAACCAUGUAAUUUAUAUCAGACUAAUAUUAUCACUUACAUGUAAUUCUCUUUUUCCACAAAUGGCAGCUAUUUUUAUCAUUAAAGAAGAGGGGGUUUCCUGUGAAAGCCAAUUUUUUUUUUCAUGAGUCACUGGCAUUGCUGCUCUUUUGUUAUAUUAGGUACAGUCAUUUCUGCCCUGAUGCUUUAAUUUGUGCUGGUAAAGGUUCCCCAGCCCCUCACUGGGCUGCGUCUGUGUGGGGCCAGCUGAAUCCCGCGAUGCCAGAGCAGGUCAGUGGCAUGGCUCAGACGCGAGUCCAGUGAGAUGUCUCAGAAACAGCAGUCCUCUGCCCAUUUUUCCUGCUUGGUCCAAUCCAGAAAUACUCUCAGAGGAUGCCUGACCCCCACCUAUCAUCAAGAGCCUUUCAGACUUAGCAUUUCUGCCCCCACCCCAAUUUUUGGAGCUCUUGUUGAUCUUCUUGUAGAGGGGCCUUAAUCACCCGGGGUUCUGGAGUGAGUCAGGGGGGUCCUGAUAGGUGAGGGAGAUUUUGGCUCAGUUCUGUCAUGGGGAAGCCUGUGUCGUGUCCCUUGGCAUUACCUACCAGAGAGCUUUCACAGCAUGGCUUCUCCUGUGCCCAUAACUUCCAUCUUCUGGCCUGAACUCAGACGCCACCAAAAGCACUGAGGUGAUUGCCUUGCCUUGAGAUUGCGCUAAGAUCUGCAGAUGACUUAGUUGUGGCUCUCCAGUGGCCAUAGACAAAUCAUGACUGGCAGCUUUGUCCAAAUGGUAGUGCCCCAGGGCAAAUACUGUAGUAGACCCUUAGGCCAUUUAAGCUGUCAUCCGGAAAGAUAACAGCCUGCUUAUUUAGAUCAAAGCAGUUUUUGUUGUUCUUGUUGUUGAUGGUGUCUUUUUCUUAGGGGGAUUCAGUUCUUCUAUUCCCUCCAAACAGAUCUAUUCAGGUACACGGUACUAUUUUGGAUUUUGCUGUCAGAGCUGAAUCUAUGAUGAUAGAGAAGCUCAUCAGGCUUGAAAAGAUGAGCUUCUGGAGGGAGAGGAGUAGCAAGUAAGAAAAUUUCACUAUAUGGUGCCAUAAACUGCUUCCUGUCCUCAAGUAAAAUUACCUUAGAAAAAUGGUGCCAGCAUUAUAGCCUGCCUUAUUAAUAUGUUUGAGGAAAGAGAUACAAAUAGCAAAAUAAAGAAAGUCAGUUUUAUGGAACAACAAGGAGUUUUAAAAAGAUAUUUUAUUAUGUGUCUCUGUAAGGAAUAGACCAACAACCAUAUAAAAGCUUACAAGGAUGGUUAACCUUCAACACUAUAAAUGUGUUAACGUGACAAAAGAAGUUCACAAUUUUGCACCUUUAUUGACUUUUACAGAGUGAAGGGAGAAAGUUCUCAAAUAUGACAUGCCAAUAACAACCUAUGACAGGAGACAUUUACAAUUGCUGUUAAUCCUUUACUUUUUUUUAAAGCAAGUCAAUAACCCUGACUUGCAGAGUUAGGAGUGAAAAAUACAUUAGCACCAUCAUAUUAGUCUUUUACACUUCCCUAAUUUUAGUGGUCUUGACCAGCAAUGACAGGAAAGUAGAGAAGCACCUUUGAUAACAGAAUACAAUCCAACAAUAAAAUUAUGGUGACUGUUGAUAUUAAGGUAUUAAACUCUUAAAAGACACUGUACUUUUUCACAGCUAAUCAGUACAGAAAUAUACAAUUUUGUACCAAAUGAGUGAUUCCACUGAAUUGACGAAUAGGUCCAAUGUGUUUUGAUUUGUUUGAUUUUUGGUGUGAAUCAUCAGACACAUCCCAGUUUCUGUCCAUGUUGAGGUAGUUGAAACAGGGAAGUCUUUCUAGCUUUAUGGACUGCAUCUUAGAAAGGAGGGUAAACUUUGGUACUGGGAGCAAUCAGUGCUUUGUAAAUUGGCUAACAUUCAACUAAUAGAACACAGUGUUGUUUUAUUGAGUGUUGAAGUUUUAUUAUAGCACCACGGAGACAUGUUUUUGAAGAUGGAAUUUGGUUAAAAAAAAUACAGCAAAAAGCAUUUUUAUUGUACUUGGUGUAAUAGCAAAAAAAAAAAAAAAAAACCCUUGAUAUCAAAUUAAUUUUUCCCCCAGACAUUUUGUUAAUAAAUAACUGGGAUACAGAUGGUCACCUGUACUAGCUGACAAGGUUAAAACAAAGGAGCUCAGUUGGAGUGUGAAUUUGUUUGCUGGGGUUUCAGAAAGAGCAAGAUCUUUGAUUUAUAAGAAGCAGACAGGG